UGUGAGAGUGAUGAGUGGCACACAUCAGUCAGGGUGUCUGCUGCAGUGUCAUCAGCACCCUGACCCGACCCCAACCUGAGGACACACACACACACACACACACACACACACACACA